UACGUAGGGUGCAAGCGUUGUCCGGAAUUAUUGGGCGUAAAGAGCUCGUAGGCGGUUUGUCGCGUCUGCUGUGAAACCCGAGGCUCAACCUCGGGCCUGCAGUGGGUACGGGCAGACUAGAGUGGCGGUAGGGGAGAUUGGAAUUCCUGGUGUAGCGGUGGAAUGCGCAGAUAGUCAGGAGGAACACCAAUGGCGAAGGCAGAUCUCUGGGCCGUAACUGGACGCUGGAGGAGCGGAAAGCAUGGGGAGCGAACAGG
rnacentral:rRNA from 1 species